UACGGGGGGGGCAAGCGUUGUUCGGAAUUACUGGGCGUAAAGGGCUCGUAGGCGGCCAACUAAGUCAGACGUGAAAUCCCUCGGCUUAACCGGGGAACUGCGUCUGAUACUGGAUGGCUUGAGUUUGGGAGAGGGAUGCGGAAUUCCAGGUGUAGCGGUGAAAUGCGUAGAUAUCUGGAGGAACACCGGUGGCGAAGGCGGCGUUCUGGACUGCAACUGACACUGAGGAACGAAGCCAGGGGAGCAAACGGG
rnacentral:rRNA from 1 species